GCGGGCGUGGCGGAAUUGGCAGACGCGCCAGAUUUAGGAUCUGGUGAGCAUUCGUGCAGGUUCAAGUCCUGUCGCCCGUACCA
rnacentral:tRNA from 1 species